CUGACCCUGUGGUUCUGCGGAAAGGGGCACUCCAAGACCGGAAGUGUGUAGGAGGAGGAAGGAAGAAGGGAUUUCUUCCUUCCCUUUUACUUCCUGUGCACUUCCUGUCAGUUUCCUGCUCCUGUGGAGUUUCACCCCAGGGGUGGUAGUCCUUUCCCUUCCCAACAGCUAAACCCAGCAUGCUGUUGCUUGCAGAAACAGGUUCAUCGCCCUCUGCUCAAGUACAGGGGCAUCAGUGAGCAGCCUCCUCCUCCCAAGUUUCUAGGUUUUAGAAAGUCUAGCUUCUUCCCAGUUUCUGCAGUCCUUGGAGUGGAAGCUGCUUCCUGCAAUUCUACCUCCCUGGUCCCUUACAGUUCUCUUACAUGGGUAAUUAACUUUAUACCUAGGUGACUGUUCUUUACGUUAAGCCCGUCGUGUUCAAGUAACAAGUAACAUUCCUGCCUCCUCACCAGAACCUGAUUGAUAGAUACAACCUUCAAGAGUGAUGCUCUGUGCUUGACCUAAAAGUAUUGAUUAUUUUCUCUUAUUGAGCACACGUUGUGUAACAUCUCAAACGCCUCUUCUUCCCACUCUCCCUCCAGAGGCUCCCAUUAUGAAUGAAAUUGAUACGGCAAUACUGAGGCAAAAAAAAAAAAAAGCCAAAUUCCAUCUCAGAAGCACCUGCUAUGAAAGCAUUCAUGUCAUAAACAUAGGAGAGCUACAAGGUUGCUGCACCAGAUUGUGCAAUCUCUCCCUCUCUCUCGGGACCUUGUGGCGCAGGAUAGAACACAUCUGAUCGGCACAACCAGCUUCCAGAGUUAUUUCCAGAUGCCAUCAAGAGUCUCACGAAUCAGCAAGACCAAUGUGUGCAUUCCAGAUGCUGACCCAAGUCACCUCUCUUCUUGCCCUCAGCUCGGGUUACUUAGAUGAGAGAAGUAAAAAUAAAUAACGAAAGGGCACCCAAUACCAAUCCCCAGAAUCCUCAGCGAAAUGCAGGUAUUUGCUAAUUCUCUUUAAAGGAGAGAGGGGAAAUAGCAUAUAUUUCAUUUCUUUUGGCUGAUCUCCCUGUCUGAAUUUUAUUAAACCAACCAGGAUCUUUUUUGAUUGCAUUUUUAUAUUUGAUUGGGUACCUAUUGGGUGUGUGUUCAAACAGUAAAACAAAGACCCCCAGGAGUGCCUGGGUGGCUCAGUUGAGCAUCCGACUUAGGCUCAGGUAAGGAUCUUGCAGUUGACAAGUUCCAGCCCCAUGUCGGGCUCUGUGCUGACAGCCUGGAGCC